CUACAAUGUUCUUGAAUUCUACCAGAAUGAACUGCUUUUUGCAGAAAUAGAGUAUAUGCAGCAGAGGGAGAUUGACUUGCAAAAUGAUAAUAUGUAUCUCCGACUAAGGCUCAAGAUGGGGCUGAUGUUUCAGGUGUCUUGACAGUAAUGACUCUAGGGAUCGGUCUCUAAAACAGCUUUCAAGGGUGACAGCCAAUCAAGUUUGCAUCAUUUCUGGUAUGUAUGUUACAUUCUCACUAUGGUUGAGCUAUCUUAAAAAGGUAGCUUGUUUGUCCAAUGUUCAAGUGAGGUAGAAGAUAUUUUUCUUGAAACAUAAUAUUCUUUCAGAUUUGGGUAAUCAGAGUUUUUCCUCCUGAUUCAAAUUGUGCUACUUCAGUUAUUACCUGAAUACUUCAGAAUUUCUAGGUCCCUUUAUUUAAUCUUUUGCCAGUUAUGCUGUUUGUCGAAGAUCCUAAAAUUUGAUAUGGGUUAUAGGUAUUUGGCUGAGCUGGACAUACAGGGGAAUGGGAUUGAUGA